rnacentral:rRNA from 1 species
GGGUGGGAUCAUACCAGCGUUAAUGCACCGGAUCCCAUCAGAACUCCGUAGUUAAGCGAGCUUGGGCUAGAGCAGUACUGGGAUGGGUGACCUCCCCGGAAGUCCUAGCGUUGCACGCU